rnacentral:rRNA from 1 species
UACAGAGACUGCAAGCGUUAUUCGGAUUCACUGGGCGUAAAGGGUGCGCAGGCGGCAGAGCAAGUCGAGUGUGAAAGCCCCGGGCUUAACUUGGGAAUUGCGCUCGAAACUACUUUGCUGGAGUGUGGCAGAGGAAGGUGGAAUUCCACGUGUAGCGGUGAAAUGCGUAGAGAUGUGGAGGAACACCAAUGGCGAAGGCAGCCUUCUGGGCCAACACUGACGCUCAUGCACGAAAGCGUGGGGAGCAAACAGG